AUGGCAGGCGUUCUCCCGUAACGGCAUUCCUCACUGAGGAGCAGUGAUGAUGCUGUAUGCUGGAACCAUCAGGACAAGCCCGGAAACGUCCAUCUCCAGCGGGCUACAUCUUCCAGCAGGCCAGGCCCUCCAAGCAAUGGAGUGUGUGCAUAAUGGUCCGCUGCAGUGCCUGGAUCACUUUCUCCAUCCUUUGGCACAAUGGUCAUCCAACUUCUGACAUCUAUGUGGCGAGUUAGCCAGGGAGAAUGCACAGCAGGUUGGAAAGUUCGGUCUUAAUGCAGCUCCUGUGCCCCAAAGCCCAUUCAUCCCCAGGACAAUUUGUCUAAACACUCAAAACAAGCAAACGUCUGGUCUGUCAAAACUAAGACAGUGAGGGUGACAGCUACACGAUAGCUAACCCAGGCAUAAACAGCUUAACACAUGAACAAAAUAAUAACAGUUAUGCAUGGUAACACUAGACAAAACGUAUGCACAUAAUUAGACAUUUUCAUAUAACAGCGAAGAACACACUGAAUUCUGGGAACUACAUUAUGCACAAACAGGAAAGCACACUACCCCCCCUGCCCUGCUGCUGAAGGGCCCGCAGUCCAUGAUUAUACCAUUCAAUUGCGUCUGUGAUUGAAUUAUAUUGUUCAGUUGCAGGCAUCGCAAGUUACGGUUCGAGGGCGGUAAAAUGUAUUCAUUAUGCGAUCAGCCACAGUUUUAGUACAUUCAACAUAAAAUAAAAAGACACAGCGCCCUUUCUGCUGACUGGCAAGUUGCUGUUUACGCCGUGCUCUCUAAUGUAGCCUAUGUACAUAUCUGCCCCUCAAAUGAGAUCCACUGUGGUUGGACAUGUUGAUUCAAAUCUGUAAUUUGUUUAUAAUUUCACACAUUCCAAGUAGUUAAAAUGAUGGAAUACCUCGCAACAGUAAGUGACAGUCUGACAUAGAAAUGUGUCUAGUGUUGCAUAAAAAGUCCAGACUCUAAUUUUAUGGUCAUAAGUCACAUUAUCUAGGCUUCCAAUGAAUUAAUUUACACUGAGAGCCUUCCAGCUCCUAACUUUACAAGGGUGAGCCCUAGCUUCCAUAUUUGGAUCUCUUGUCCACUUUUUUGCAAAAGCUUCUGCAUGUGUGUAUGUUUGUUAAUGACUGUGUGUGUGUGUCUUAUAUGUGCGCGUUCACCCACAUAAACUUGCACUCACCUCUGCUUAACUUUUCCAGCACGGCGAGCAACCUUCAGGGAGCAGAUUUAUGGCAUGGCCGUUAGAUUACAUCCUGCUUGUUUGUCAGCAGACCAGUCGUGCUCCGCGGAGACGCAGCUCGCCGGAUAAAUCAUAAACACGGACGCGUUUUUAAAAAGACUUUAUUACACUCGUUAAUGGCGCGCCUGAUCACUUUGCCUAGGAUUUAAAGGUAUAUUAUGCAAAAUCAGAAAAACAAACCUUAUAAUACUUAAUCAAACAUGCAUAAAGCUGUCACAUGGGCUAAAUAAAUUCUCCCAAUUAACUUGCUUCAAGAUUGUGAUUGCUUUUACUAAUUUAAUCAACACUGUAAUAAUUUGAGCGCCUGCCAAGAUUAAUGACAGACUUGGACACUGAGAUAGAAGGAGAGGCAGGAAGGACUUCUAGGGUGACUGGUGAUAAUUAAAGUGGAUGGGCAUCCUUUGGAGAAGGCAGCCCUCACCCCCACCCCCUUGUGUGUUGCUGAAGUUCUCAGCAGUCAGCCUCCUCCGCUGGCAUUAUCCCUCAGAACUGUUCCUCAUCAUCCCAACAUCUGUGUGGUCCUGAUGCUGGCUUCAGUCCGAAGCACCUCGGAACCACCUCUCCUGAUGCAGUCACUCCAGUGUUAACCUCCACUUGUGUGAAACCUCACAUCUGCGUCUCAGCUACGUGAUUUAUUCACCGUCAUAACGACGCAGUUUACCACUUGCAGAGGGAGGUCUGGCUCAGAGUAUUAAUUAGUGAGGGAUCAAUAAUCUGCGGCGUGUCAGAGGAGAGUAGACAAGUCAUAAUGUAUUUAUCACAAUGAUUGUGAUUUUUAAAGCAGUGUUCACCUGUUAAGUGAGAAUGAAUGAUGUGUAAAACAAAGGACCAUUUGAUUUAGGAAUACUGUAGGGUCAAUGCAAGGUCCCUGUCAAUAUGAGUAGUACAUUAUCAGUCUGUUUGAAAUGAUACUGUGGUUAUUUAUGACUUUCUGUGGAUAAUUAGGCAAUUAAGAGAGGUAAAAGAGGGGAAAUUGUGAACUAGAAUGUUCACAGGCUUUCUACUUGGUAAUGAACUAAUGCACUGCAAUAUUCAGAAACACCAUAAGAGGGCAGUAUUUGCACAUCAUUAUAAUGGUCUCUGUGUCCAUCAUCAGGUAGAAUGUAAAGGUGGUUUGUAGUCUAUAUCGUUGGAAAAUGUGUAGGCAACACUGAUAAAAAAUGAGUAUUUUUAGAAUAAUAAAUAUUUGAUAUCAUGAUACUGAAAAACUUACUUACAAGAUCUAAAAUGGAAAAUGUGUGCAGUGUGAUUUAAAAAAAAUAAACAAUAUAAUUCAUAUCAUGAUACUGAAGAUGUUAUAAUUUCACAAUAACUACAUUUUGUUGUAAUUAUUAAUUCUCUCUUUGUUUUACUCCUAACGUGCUUGUUGCAAGUGCCUCGGCAGAGGAAACCGUUUGACCUCUUCUGGACUUGAGACUAAGUGGCAUGACCCAGUGACUGGUCUGAAUUGAUAAGAGGCCAACAAAUACAAGAUUAAAGAGUUCUCCGUAGCCAUGGAAACAGAGCGGGGAAUAUUGCCGCCGCGACCUUCUCAUUGCCUCGGCCCUCACCUGUUUCACUUUGCCGUUUUAGAGGAAAACAAUCCUCGGAGCGCGCCAUCAAUCGCGUACAGGAAAGUGGCGGCAAUACGAAACGGCUGUCUCUCCCCCAGGCUCCUGAUUGCCAAUAUUCCCCCUUUUCGCUACUGUUGUUACAGGACGGAGGGAGACAAAUAACAUGAAAGUUCUCAGGGACCUCUGGACUUGUUCUUCUUCUUCUCACAGUUCCCCAGGUCUUUGUGUAGAGGUCAAAGGUGGGUGGACCAGGAAGGAUGCGUCUCGUCAAAUGUUCUCCAUGCAGAUGAUUUGUGGUGCCGCUGUGAAGAUUGGUGCCUUUUUGUGCCGUGGAUCAGUUGGACAUGCAGUGACUGCCAAAAUAUAUUUUACUGUCAAAGAAGCAUUCAUCAAAAAAUGUAUUUAUUAAAUGGAAGUAUCUCGUUGUUUGUAAUUUAUUGUAUAAAUGAUCCAGGACAGAACUAAAAAUACAUGUUUUUGUACAUUUGCAAGCAUAACCUGCACCUGAAGUUUUGAAAGCUAUGUAGUGCUCAACUUACCUCCAUAUAUGCACAGUUUUGAACAUAAAGUAGCUAAUUUGCCCUUUACAUUAUUGGUAAUAUUGCUGUAAUGUUACAGAUAUGUAAAAUAAACAUGUUUGUUGCAAACAAACAAAGCCUAAAACUCCAUUUAUGUGCAGUUCAGAAGGCUCAUAUGAAGCAUUGUAAAACAUCAUGAACAGUUAUUAGUUUUUCUUGAUUGCCAAGACACAUUUCCUGACAUUAUGCUCCAUUUCCUAAAACUCUAAACACAAGUACAUAACUGCACACUCAUCUUCACAAACUUCAAACUUCCAUGUCAAAACUAAACUCUCCACUCAAAAUCGUUUAAACUAAACUUUGCCUUCAGACAUCACACAAAAGCCAUCAAAUACACACUACAUUAUAAAAUAGCCAUUUCACAUUAGUGAGAUCAAUCCAAAACUCUACCGUAAAAAAUACUGCAAUGAGUAAUGGCGCUCAUGGUUUUCCCCCAGAACAACCCCUUUACAUGGUGAGCACAAUAUAAAGACACAACACAUGUAUAAAAUUACAAUUGUUUUAAUUCCUCCAUGUACUGUUGUAAAAUAAACGUACUGUAAAAUAUGCAACUGAUACGUAAAGAAAUGUAGAAUACAGUGAAAUUAUUUCCAUGUAUUUACCAAUAAAAAACAAAUGAAAAAAAAAA